GUCCAGGGGCGGGGAAUCGAACCCACAACCUUCUGCUUACCGGGCAGGUGCCAUGUCCACUAGGCUACCCUGGA